rnacentral:lncRNA from 1 species
AAAACGCAGAGUGGCCGCAGCAUUAGAGGAUAUCCACACAAGACCUAAACUUCCGCCGGUUUCAAGUGAAAAGAAAAGAUCGCUACGUUGGUGGCGCUGCCGUUGCUGUUGCUGCUCUCGUUCUACUGCCGCCGACUCCAUCACCACAACUCCUCCCUGCUGCCAUUGCCGGACAAGAGUUAUUGCCAACGGCAGAUUUGAUAACAAAUCCUGAGGUGGCUGAUAUUAAAGGUAAUUUCCGUGCUAUUUUUUCCAAUAUAUAAGAUCAAAUAUAUAACAGAUUUUUGCCAUGUUGAUCGCUGCAAUUUCUUGCCCUUUUGUUGUGUCGCUUGGCUUGAGCCUUCUACCAUGUUUGCAUAUGAUUUAAGGUGAUGUUGAGGCGAUGAGUUGUGUUUAAGUUUUGGGCCACAUGAUCUUGUUUCAGUCCAAAUUUGUGAUUUUUGUUAGUGAGGUAUUCGGUUGAUAAUGGAACCCAAUAGUUGCAGAAAUUUUUCCAGAUUUUCGCAUAUUCUCUCUCUGAUUUUUAUGUUUAAACAUAAGACUCUGUGGUCAAAAAUAGAAAGAUUACUGGAUGAUCUUGUUGUUCUGAUUCAAGUUUGUCGGUUUGGCCAUUUAGUUAUAUUUAGACUGCAUUCAAGAACUCACCAGAAAAUUGAAAUCAACAUUCAAAUUAAAGAAGCAAUAAAAGAAUGCAUUUCCUGUCUUUCGAAUCUGUUGGGGAUAGGUGGUAGCACUUUGGGGGCAAUGGUAACAAUGGGUUGAAGAUCAUAGUGUUAUUCUUGGUUUUGAUGAUCACAAAGUACUUUGAAAUGUUUAUCUAACUCUCUUCAAAUAUAAGUGUUUUUUGCCUAUCAAAGAAUCAGGUACGAAUAUGUCAAGAAAUGAAAAUCAACCAAAAGAAGUAGCAAAAACAGGACACUCAUGUCGGACGUCCAAAGGAAUCUGUCGGACGUCCGAAAGGAUAAAGAACAUCAAGAAGGAAGCUCUGUCGGACGCUCAUAAGGAAGCGUCGGACGUCCGGAAUGAUCGGACGCACGUCUCGGACGCACAUCAACCGCGUCGGACGUCCGAAAAAUUCCAAGAAAACUUGCCAACUCUCUGACGACGAUCGGACGCUGAUACUGUCGGAUGAUAAAAACGCAUCGGACGUCCGAACUACAACUUGGCUGUUUUCGGACGAUAGGUUGGGACGAUGAUUUGGUCGUCGGACGUCCGACAGCCCCAACGGCUAGCUGACUCUUCAUCUGCCUUCUAUCCGUUUGAAGAAUUAAUGAACCCCAUUUUUGGUCCCCUUUAAAAAUAAACUGUUCUGAACCAAGAAGAAAUUUUUGCACACUUUGUUUACAAGAUCUCAAGAGAUUUUUUAGCUUGAAAAUAGUCUCCAAGACAAGAUUUGUUCUCCAAGUGGUGUGAAUUUUUUGUGAGCAUUUCUCUUGUGGUUGAAAGUUUUAUAAGUGUAACUUUUAUUGAGGGUUAUCUGAGUGAUUGUAAAACUUCUUAACUUGACUAAGUGAGGCUUAGGGCAAGGAGGAAGUGCUCCCUCCAUUGUACAUCUAGUUGAUCAUCUUUCAUCAAAAAAAAGUUGCUCAACCUAGUGAUUGGUUUUCAAGUUUGAGGAAAGCUUGGUAGACAAUCGGUUUGAUAAUCUAUCUUAUUCUUUUUGUUUAAUAAAAUUCUCAUUGCUUAUCUAUACUUGUUUUUCUAAUCAACAUUGCUCUCUUCUUCUAAUCUACUUGGUUGAUCAUUACUAGAAAAGAAGGUAAAUUUUUAUUAAAGAAAAAGUGCAUAAAUUUGAUUAAAAUUUUAAUCAACCUAAUUCACCUCCCCUCUUAGGUUGUCUUUGGGCCUUACAAUUGGUAUCAGAGCUUGGUCUCCUAGAGAUUAAGCUCAAGCGGCUUGGAGUAAAGAUGACAACCAGUCAUGCCAUGUUUGUUGAGGGGCAAUCUGUUACUAGGCCUCCCAUGUUUAGUGGCUCCAAUUAUGUUAGUUGGAAAGAAAGGAUGAUUAUCUUUUUGCAAUCUAUUGAUAUUGAACUAUGGUUUAUUGUGAGUGAAGGACCGCAUGAAACUAACUUUCUUGAUGCAGAUACAGGUUUGCAUCGGCCAAAAACGAGAGCUGAAAUGAAUGCUCAAGAUAGGACUAAUCUCACAUUGAAUGCCAAAGCCAUGAAUGUUCUUUAUAGUGCCUUAGAUUCAAAUGAAUCAAUUAGAGUAAAAGGCUGUAAAUCGGUCAAAGAAAUGUGGGAUAAGUUAAGAGAAAUCCAUGAGGGUGGUGACAAUGUGAGAUAACAGAAAAAGGCUAUCUUGGUCACAAAGUAUGAAUCAUUUAAAAUUGAAUCUCUUGAGGAUAUUGAUAAAAUGUAUUGCAGGUUCAAUGACUUGAUCAAAGAUCUCGAGGUGUUGAGCAAAAAGUACACCUUGGGAGAGAAGAACAGGAAAAUUCUCAAUGCAUUGGGCAAAGAAUGGGAAAAUAAAGUGUCUGCAAUAGAUGAGGCUAAGGAUUUAAAUUCUGUGCCUAUUGAAUCUCUCAUUAACUCACUAAUCUCUUAUGAGUUGAAAUUGAAAUCUAAAGUGCAGGAGGAAGAGGAUGCUAGAGCAAAGAGAAACAUUGCUCUAAAGACUACUCAAGGUGAAGAUGAUCCAGCUCACUUGGAUGAUGAAGACUCGGAUGGUGAUGAUAAUGAUCUUGCUCUCAUCACAAGAGGCUUCAAGAGAAUCUUGAAUAAAAGGAAGUUUAGAAGGGGAGGAUCUAGCAAUCAAUUUCAAAAUUAUUCAUCAAAUGCAAAGAACAAAGGAAAACAAGAAUUCAACAAGAAGCAAGUGGACAAAUGCUAUGAAUGUGGACAGCCUGGAUACUAUGCAAACGAAUGCCCCAUGAAGAAAAUGAAAGAUGGGAAAGCUGAUCGAAAGCCAAGAUUCAACAACUUCCAGAUUACUUGGAAUGAAUGCAACUCCGAAGGGGAAGUUGAAGAAGAGGAAGAAUUAGCUCAAAUGGCCUUCAUGGCUAUUGGAGAUAAUGAGGUAACUUCCAUACACUCUCAAUCUGAAAGUGAUGAUGAAGAAGAUGAUGAUCUUGAAUCCUUUGUUGAAAAACUGCAUAAUGCCUUGAAGGAAUCUUAUGAUAAAAACAAGCAGCUAAAACAAAAAAUUGCUUUUCUCAUUCAUGAAAAUGCAAGUCUUCUUCAAAAAAAUAAACAACUAAAGACUGACAAUGAAUGUCUUGUAAGAGCCGGAUUUGAUGUUCAAAAUGAGUUUGAUAGAAAGACAAGUAUUUGUGAAAUGCUGAAGGAAAGACAUGGUGAUUUGAAGAAAAGAAUGGAUAACUUGGAUGAGACUUUGAAAGCAAGAAAGCAAGAUUUUCUCAAAAAGAACAUGUCAUCUACCUUUCUUACUGCUCAUCAAAGAACAUUAGCACACAACAAAAAUGCACAUGAUUUCACAACAUAUAGAAGAAGUGGAUUGAGAUAUGUCAAACCAUUACAUGUUAAGGACUCUUCCAUUAUGUGUGAUUUUUGUUGUCAAGAAGGGCAUUUGAAAGGAGAUUGCUAUGUGAAAAGAAAUUUGAACAAAGGGAUGAGAUGCAUGUGGUUAGUUAGACACAAUGCUAACUAUUGUGGACCCAAAAAUUAAAAAGGGUACCAAACACUUUCUCUUUUCAGGAAAAAUGCUCAAACAAGUCCAAAUGGUUUAUUGAUAGUGGCUGCUCAAGGCAUAUGACCGGUGAUCCCUCUUUGUUCAUAAAGCUAAGAUCAAAAUCAAAUGAAAAGGUGACAUUUGGUGAUGAUGUGAAAGCUAAGACAAUUGGAAUAGGUGAUGUUGGUAAGGAUGGUGAAACUUUUGUUCAUAAUGUGCUCUUAAUUGAUAAUUUAGGUUAUAACUUGCUUAGUGUUAGUCAAUUGUGUGAUGAAGACUUGAAUGUGUUGUUUAAAAAGCAUGAAUGCAUUGUGCUUGAUUCCAAAUACAAUGUUGUGUUCAAAGGUAAGAGAUUUAACGACAUAUAUAUUGUGGUUCUUGAUAAAAUUGAUUCAUCUAACUUCAAAUGCCUUAAAGCUUCAAAUGAAGAUCCUUGGUUGUGGCAUAGGAGACUUUGUCAUUUUAAUAUGGAUUUACUAAAGGAAAUUUUGAAAAAGGAGCUGGUUAGAGGCUUGCCAAAAAUCAGUUUUGAAAAGGAUAAAAUUUGUUAUGCAUGUCAAUUUGGAAAACAAACAAAAGUUUCUUUUAAACCAAAGAAGUGUGUAUCAACUUCUAAACCUUUAGAACUCUUGCAUCUUGACUUAUUUGGUCCUACUCAAAUCACUAGCUUGGGAGGUAAGAAAUACUGCUUUGUGAUUGUGGAUGAUUAUUCUAGAUAUACUUGGGUGAUAUUUCUUGCUCAUAAGGAUGAUGGCUUCAAGAAUUUCACUUCAUUGUUUGCUAAAGUGCAAAAUCUGCUUGGUUUAAAAAUUGUUAGGAUUAGAAGUGAUAAUGGAACGGAAUUCAAGUAUUGUGAUUUUCUAAAAUUUUGUGAUUAUAAUGGCAUAACACAUGAGUUUUCUAUUGCAAGAACUCCACAACAAAAUGGUGUUGUAGAAAGGAAAAAUAGGACACUACAAGAGGCUGCUAGAACUAUGUUAAGUAAAUGUAGUUUGCCAAAAUACCUUUGGGCUGAAGCGGUAAACACUGCAUGUUAUGUGAUGAAUAGAAUCCUUUUGAGACCUAUUUUGAAUAAAACAUCUUAUGAACUGAUUUUUGAUAAGAAACCUACGGUUGGAUAUUUCAAAGUCUUUGGUUGUAAAUGUUUUAUUUUAAAUUUAAAGGAACGUCUUGGUAAGUUUGAGAAAAAAUCUGAUGAAGGAAUAUUUUUGGGAUAUUGUGAGAACAAAAGAGGAUAUAGAGUCUUUAAUAGAAGGACUCUUGUGAUAGAAGAAACCAUACACAUAACAUUUGAUGAAACUAAUGAUGAUAAUUCCAAAAAUUCGUGUGAGGAUGAUGAUGUAGGUGUUCGUGAAGGAAUGGAAAAGCUAAAAAUUGGAGAUGGAGGAAACUCUAAACCGGAAGCAAAGGAAAUGGAGAAUGAAGCUCAUGAAGAUCAAGAAAGGGAAGAUGAGGACAAAAAUGAUGAUUCAUUCAAAGAUCUUCCCAAGGUUUGGAAAUUUAGCCAAAAUCAUCCAAAAGAACUUAUAAUUGGUGAUCCAUCUGAGAAGGUAAACACUCGUUCCUCAUCUAAGAAAUUGAUAGACAAUUUUGCUUUAGUUUCUCUUUUUGAACCUAAAAAUAUCAAUGAUACCUUAAAGGAUGAAAACUGGAUUUUGGCAAUGCAAGAGGAACUCAAUCAAUUUGAAAGAAAUGAGGUUUGGACAUUAGUUGAUAGACCUCAAAAUCACCCUAUCAUUGGCACUAAGUGGGUAUUUAGAAAUAAGCUGGAUGAUAAAGGUGUAGUUGUAAGAAAUAAAGCUAGAUUAGUUGCAAAAGGGUAUGCUCAAGAAGAAGGAAUUGAUUUUGAUGAAACAUUUGCUCCCGUAACUAGAUUAGAAUCAAUUAGAAUGCUUCUCGCUUUUGCUUGCUUCAAGGGUUUUAAACUGUUUCAAAUGGAUGUUAAAAGUGCCUUUUUAAACGGUUUUAUUGAUCAAGAAGUAUAUGUGGAUCAACCCCCCGGUUUUGAAAAUUCAAAAUUUCCAAAUCAUGUGUUUAAACUCUCAAAAGCAUUGUAUGGGCUAAAACAAGCUCCAAGAGCUUGGUAUGAAAGAUUGAAUGGUUUCUUGAUUGAAAAUAAUUUCAAAAGAGGAGUUGUGGACACCACACUGUUUACUAAGCAAGUACUAAAUGAACUCCUUAUUGUGCAAAUAUAUAUAGAUGAUAUUAUUUUUGGUGCUACUAAUGAGUAUCUAUGUAAGGAUUUUUUCACCAUUAUGCAAAGUGAAUUUGAAAUGAGUAUGAUGGGAGAAUUAAUUUCUUCCUUGGACUUUAAAUACAUCAAGCCAUAGAGGGCAUUUUCAUAAAUCAAGCAAAAUACACUAAGGAAUUGCUGAAAAGAUUUGGCAUUGAGGAUUCAAAGCAAGUUGGAACUCCAAUGUGCACUUCAACAAAACUUGACCAAGAUGAAGAAGGUAAACAUGUGGAUGAAAAGCACUAUAGAUGUAUGAUUGGAAGCUUACUUUAUUUAACCGCAAGUAGACCCGAUAUUAUGUUUGUUGUUUGCUUGUGUGCUAGAUUUCAAUCUUGUCCAAAAGAAUCACAUUUGAAUGCUGUUAAAAGAAUUUUUAGGUAUUUGAAAGGUACAUUAGACUAUGGUCUUUGGUAUGCUAGAUCUAGUGAGUUUGCACUAUAUGGAUAUUCGGAUGCUGAUUUUGGAGGUUGUCGUGUGGAUAGAAAGAGUACUAGUGGAACUUGUCACUUUCUUGGUAAUUGCUUAGUCUCUUGGUUUAGCAAGAAACAAAAUGCAAUCUCUUUGUCUACAACCGAAGCGGAAUAUAUUACCGCUAGUGCAUGUUGUGCUCAACUUUUAUGGAUGAAGCAUACCAUGAAUGAUUUUGGAUUGUCAUAUGACUGCAUGCCUAUAUUCUGUGAUAAUGCUAAUGCUAUCAAUUUGACCAAAAAUCCAAUUCAACAUUCUAGGACAAAGCAUAUAGAUAUAAAGCACCACUUUAUUCGCGAUCUUGUUAAAAAAGGUGAAGUAUGUGUAAAUUAUGUUUGUUCUAAAGAUCAAUUUGCUGAUAUUUUUACAAAAGCUUUGCCAUUAGAUUAGUUCACUCAUCUAAGAUCAAAAUUAGGGAUAAUCAAAAAAUCAUCUUAAAAUUUUUCAAAGCCUUCGGACGUCCGAAAGAAGAUGAACGGACGUCCGAUAAUGUUCUUCAGCUAUUUUCCAGAAAACACCUGUUCGGACGAAGCUGUCGGACGCACGACUUUGUUCGGCCAUCAAACAGUGCAACGGUUCACUUUUUAAAGUAACUUUCUUCUUCAUUUGCUUCAAACUCUUCUUCUUCUAUUUCCUCUCGGACGAAAACUCUCUCGUUUCUCACUCUCAAAUUCGUACCAUUCUGAAGCUCUCAUUCCCAAAUUGACUCAACCAAAACUUUUCCUGAUCGAUUGCGAUUCGUUUCUCCUGAUCAUUUCACCGAAUCGCAUAACAUUUCGCAAAUUCCCAAAUUUCACUCAAAACCCUAUUUUCUCAUAACCGCUCUGUCCAAUCUUCUUCAAGGCCUUUUUGUCCCAAAAUUUCUGUGUGAUUCACUUCCAUACUACUGUGUGCAUCAUUUGCAUCCUUCAUUCCACACAUUUCGCACAAUGGUGAAUCUAAGAGGAGGGAAGGUCACUGCCGGACGCAAGCAUCCACUCAGGGAUGAGGAUGAUGAUGUUCCUACGGUCAAACGAUCAUCCAAACGCUUCAAGAGGGGAGCUGUAAAGGGUCAAAUGUCACAGCCUACACCACAACCCACCCCUCAACCUGAAUUUGGACAGGGAACCUCAUCUCAACCGCCUCCAAAAUCAACCACAGUCCCUACAUUCUUUGAUGAUGCUGCAAAAGACAAACACUCCUGGAUAUCCCAGAAAGGUGUCAUCCCUCAACGCACCGUAAAUUCUUCUGAAUUUCGCCAAAUAGGUUUAGAAUCCAUUCUGAGUCUGUUUGCUUUCCAAAAAUGGUCACAUCUCAUUUCUAUGCCUAAUGUCUAUUAUCCUGAAAUGCUGUUUCAAUUUUUUGCCAAUCUUAGGAAAGGCACUGACCAAACUGAGAUUAUGUCCAGGGUUAAUGGGGUAGGCUUAGUUUUUGAUUCUGAAAUUGUGAAUGAUAUUUUAAAAACUACUAUUGAACCUGGAUGCAAGAGUAAAAUUACAAAUUUCUUUUCCUAUGAAGAGCAUCCUACUGCUGAUAAUCAUUUUGAUGGGGCUAAGAUGUUAACUUAUUUUAAAAGAAGUUUUUCUGCCCCUGCUGAUGCUAAACUGAAUGAUCUUGCCCCUGUGAAUCUAACUGCCUUUUCAAUCAUUUCAAACUAGCUUGUGCCUACUGAUGGCCAUAGAACAGAUGCAAACAAAAUGGAGUUGUAUCUCUUUUACUGUUUUCGAGAAAAGAUUCGUAUUGAUUUUGGUUUUGUCAUGUGCAAGUUUUUAUUUCGUUAUGCCACUGAUUCUCGCAGAAAAUUAUCUUAUGAAAAUUUUCUUCAAAAGAUUUUUGAGUUUUACAAAAUACCAAUUCUAGGUGUUUGUCCCAAAGAAGCAUCUUCUUAUGCCUCUACCAAAGGAUAUUUUGAAAGGAAAAAUCUUGUCUUUAAGGAUAACUUAUGGGUUUAUAAGGGGGCAUCAUCUAGUGAACUUAGGUCUAAGGCUGCACAUGAUCCACUACACACUCCUUCAUCUGUUGCACUCACUCCCAUUCAUCCCAGGAAGUCUGCCACUAAGGCAUCUUCCUCCUCCAAUAAUGAAGUGAUUGAGUUCCUUCGUGAACUCAAACAGCAUGUUCUUCUUCUGGAACAUGGUCUAAUGCUCACCAUGUCCUCUGAGCAACAAACAGCCUACCUAGACAAAAAGAACCUUCUUUUUCCCCCACCUGUGAUUGAGGAAGUUUUCCAUGGCAAAGAGCCACGCCCCACUGAUCCAAGUUCAUCAAUUCCAGACCCGAGCUCAUCAACUCCCGUGAUUCCUCAUGGCCCUUCCACAUCAGAUAAAGGCAAGGCACUAGUUGAAGAAGCUGCUGAAGAUGAUGAAGAAACUGAAGAGGAGGACCUCUCCCAAUAUCAGCUUUCUCGAAGGACACCUGGAUCCACCUAGUUCACCAUUUAGGAUCACAUAGGGUCAUUUGCAUUUUGUUUGACUAUUUCAUGUGUUUCUAGUGUUUGUGGUGUUCAACAAUGGAUAUGUAGAUGUAAUGCUUAUGUUUAUGUUGUGUUCGUUUAGUACUUUUUGAUGGAUGAUUAUGGCUGUAAUGGUUAUGGAUAUGUGGAUGGAUGUUUACGUAUUUUGAAUGAUGAAUGUGUGGAUGUGAUAAAUAUUUUUGUUAUUAGUUCUCCGUGAUAUACGUGAUUGAUUGGUCUUUUGUGAUGACAAAAAGGGGGAGAGGUCUGGAUUGGAUUGAUUGAUGAUUUAAUUGAAAUUGAAUUGGCUUGAUGGAUUGAAUUGGUAAAAUGUUGGAUGUUGACUGCUUAAUUGUUAUAUUUUUGGAUAAUUGAUUAAUUCGGUAGGGUAGCCAAGUGAGGGGGAGUUUUUCAAAUUUUUGCUCUAUGAUCCACUAAGUAAGGGGGAGUUUUUGUCAAUUGAGAAAGGGGGAGCUUAUAUUGCAAUCAUCAAAUCUCAUUUCAAACCAUUGUUAUGUCAUCAUCAAAAAGGGGGAGAAUGUUAUUCUUGGUUUUGAUGAUCACAAAGUACUUUGAAAUGUUUAUCUAACUCUCUUCAAAUAUAAGUGUUUUUUGCCUAUCAAAGAAUCAGGUACGAAUAUGUCAAGAAAUGAAAAUUAACCAAAAGAAGUAGCAAAAACAGGACACUCAUGUCGGACGUCCAAAGGAAUCUGUCGGACGUCCGAAAGGAUAAAGAACAUCAAGAAGGAAGCUCUGUCGGACGCUCAUAAGGAAGCGUCGGACGUCCGAAAUGAUCGGACGCACGCCUCGGACGCACAUCAACCACGUCGGACGUCCGAAAAAUUCCAAGAAGACUUGCCAACUCUCUGACGACGAUCGGACGCUGAUACUGUCGGACGACAAAAACGCAUCGGACGUCCGAACUACAACUUGGCUGUUUUCGGACGAUAGGUUCGGACGAUGAUUUGGUCGUCGGACGUCCGACAGCGCCAACGGCUAGCUGACUCUUUAUCUGCUUUCUAUCCGUUGGAAGCAUUAAUGAAACCCAUUUUUGGUCCCCUUUAAAAACAAAUUGUUCUGAACCAAGAAGAAAUUUUUGCACACUUUGUUUACAAGAUCUCAAGAGAUAUUUUAGCUUGAAAAUAGUCUCCAAGACAAGAUUUGUUCUCCAAGUGGUGUGAAUUUCUUGUGAGCAUUUCUCUUGUGAUUGAAAGUUUUAUUAGUGUAACUUUGUUGAGGGUUAUCUGAGUGAUUGUAAAACUUCUUAGUUUGACUAAGUGAGACUUAGAGCAAGGAGGAAGUGCUCCCUCCAUUGUACAUCUAGUUGACCAUCUUUCAUCAAAGAGAAGUUGCUCAACCUAGUGAUUGGUCUUCAAGUUUGAGGAAAGCUUGGUAGACAAUCGGUUUGAUAUUGUAUCUUAUUCUUUUUGUUUAAUAAAAUUCUCAUUGCUUAUCUAUACUUGUUUUUCUAAUCAACAUUGCUCUCUUCUUCUAAUCUACUUGGUUGAUCAUUACUAGAAAAGAAGGUAAAUUUUUAUUAAAGAAAAAGUGCAUAAAUUUGAUUAAAAUUUUAAUCAACCUAAUUCACCGCCCUCUUAGGUUGUCUUUGGGCCUUACACAUAGCAUUGGGGUUUGGUGGGUAAAUCAAUAGGUUCUGUUUGCAUCCCUUUGAAAGAUCAUGUUUCGGUUUUGCAUAAGAAAAUUGCAAAAACUUUGAAAGUACUGUCAUUCGAUGCUUGCUAGAUUUUUUCCGUAUGAAUUUCUGGAGUUUAAACAUAAACUUUUAUGUUGAAAAGUUAAAAGAAAGCUUGGUUAUCUUGUUACCUUGAUCUAAUUGUCAUUGGACGAGACAUGAGCUACAUUUGAAUGAAAAGGAGAUUGCAUCUUAGAACUUAGUUGCAGAAGCUUUUCUCAUGUUAUUUUGCAUGAAGCUGCAUUAGCUUUCAUGUUUUGAUCCCCGCAGCAGCUCACAAAUUGGGUUUCAUCACCUUGUUUGCACAUUUAAUCUUGUGUCAAUGAUGGAUGCCGUCCCUCUGGGUUGUUCACAAACUGUAAAAUCGUAGCAGAAACUCGCAUAAGCAAAGGAAAUUUCGUUUGGCCAAAUGUCUGGAUGCAUGCAUGGAAACGUUAUUAAAAUUUGCAUCUUAACCCCCUAAGUCUCCUUUUAUCUUACAAUGGCCCAAGUAAUGGGAAAAUCAAUCAAAUUGACCCCUCAAACUUUCUUUUUUCCUUUUAAUUGGGUCCUCAUUUGGUGAAUAUGGGCUGUUUAGCUAUUUAAAUGUUUUUAAUGAUUCAAUUUCAUAUUUAUGUGAUUAUUUGCGAUGCCUUGACACUUUCUUUAUUUUUGGAGGGUAAAUAAGUAAUUUCACUCCAUUAGGGUUCCAACUCAAGGGAGGUACACUCUAUCCCUUAUUUUUUACUCUAUUUGACUCUACGUGCCUUAUGUGACUUUACGUGCUUAAUUGCUUGCCUUUUGAGUUAUUUAUAUAUUUAUUUAUUCGCUUUAUUUAUUUUUAAUUUUACAUAUUUAUUUUAGCUCAAUUUUGGUUAUUUAAAAGGCAUUUAAAUGCCAAGUUGUAAUAGUUAGGUUUAUUUUAUUUAUUUGCAUUUCCCCCCGUUAGAUUGUAGUAGGGCCCCCUCAAAUGUAAUAGCUAGGGUUUUAUUUGCUUCCUUUUUGCUUGUGUGAUUUGCAUGCUUACGUGCUAUGUGUUACCGCUUUCUUAGGGUCUUGCAUCUAGAUAUCAUGAUUAUGUGUCAUGUGUUUACGUGAUAUUAUGUGUUUACUCAUUUUAUUAUGUUUUAUGAGAUUAUAAUUAAAUGCAUGUUAUCACACUAGUCCAAUGCUAGCUGUGAUUCCUUUCCCGUCACCACACUAGUCCAACGCUAGUUGUGGCCCCUUUCUCGACUCCACACAAGUCCAAUGCUUGUGAGAGAGCAUUAGUAAGGGCUAGUCCAAUGUUAGACCCUUAGGGACCAUUCAUACGUUAGAUCAUGAUUGUGUGAUUAAAUCACUUCAUCUCAUGCAUGUUUUCACUUUUUAGGGUUUUUACCAUGUUGCAUGACACUUUUCUCAUAUGUGUAUAUCCUCUAUCCCAUAUCCCUUUCUAUUUAUAUCCCCUAUCUCAUAUUCCCUCUUAUAUCUAUGUCCCCUAUUUCUUAUAAUCCUAUGCAUGAAACAUGACAUUAGACUUGCAUUUUUAUUUAAGAAUUAGAACUAGGCUAGUACAUUUGCAUGAUGAGAUUAGGGAAAUUACCCCUUGCGUAUGAGAUAUGAACGAGUUUAGUUUCCUAAUCUUAGCACGCUUGUAUUCCCUUUAUUAAAGGGAACAUUGAAAGUCACGAGUGUAAGUCCCCCGCACCCAUUAUGAUGCAUUCCUUUAGGUCAUACACAUUUGUAUAUUAUUAGUUUCUUUACUUUUUCUUUCUUUAGAGUCUCAUGGUUUGCAUUAUUCGUGACAUUUCCAAAGAUUCUACAUUGGGCAUCACAAUUAAUGUGAUUAGCACCAAUUGAGAUUUGAAAAGAAAUUUCGACCCCUGAUACCAUCUUAAGUCUAGGGUUUGCAUUCAUAUAGUACAUCCAAAUGUGAUAAAUCUUAAGGGUAAAAUAAGAAAAUCUUUGACUAAAUCGCGCAACUAGCCUUGGCUAGGUUGAAAGGGUGCCUUGGAUUUUUAUCCUUGCCUUCCCUUUCUUCAAAUGUAACUCCCGAAUCUUUUUUUCUGAUUUUCGUAGACUUGGAGUCGUUUAAAAAGGAUUUUUCUACUUUUUCUUUAAAAAUUUAUUUUUAGGUGACUUGGUACACCUUAACUCUUUACCAAGUGGCGACUCCAUUUUUCAAACCCUUUUUAAACUAUAUUUUUGGGUCAAAUCGUCGCAUUUUCAAGUCCCAUUUAGACCCAUGUUUUUCAUUCUCUUCUUAAAUCAAAAAUUUAUUUUCCAAUAAAAAAAAAUUGAACCAAAAGCCAUUUUUCUAAACUCGUCUUUUAUUUUCUUAUUUUUAAAAUUGGGGCGCGACAGCUGGCGACUCCACUGGGGACUUAGAGAGUCCAAGCAAAUUUGAUUUAGUAAAUCCUUUUCUUCUUUUAACCUUUUCAUAUAUCGCAUUUUGGAUAUUUAGGGUUGCAUUUUUCCUUUUUUAGGAUUUUUGCAUUUUGCGCGUAUCAAUUCACUCCCUCGCACAUUUACAUACGAUUGAUUUGAUGGAUGAGUGAUUUAUUUAUGUGAUCCCGCGCUUUGCAUUGCAUUUGGGUGGGGAGAAUUUUACCCUAGAACCUCGCGUUGGUUCUCGAUCCCUCCCCUCCAAAUGAAGCACUUCAUACAUGCAUACAUAGUUUUAGUUACCCUAUUUUUCUCUUUAUCGUGGGCGCUAUCUUACAUCUCCCUGUAGGAUUAGGAUCGAUUUCCUUAGGUAGGCGGAUGGUGUGCACUGCUCCCAUAGCGAUGCCUAAGGGAUCACUCGAGCCACCGACCGAAAGCCCUGGGAGUGAUGACCCUUCGCCUUUAGGUCUGAAGGCUUGGGAGCCGAAGCCUUAUCGAGUUUAAAUGCAUUAGUGAGCCAAAUCUCAUGCAUCCAUAUUAGAAUUACCUAGGGUAGAGUCUGACUCACCCUAUUAGGGACACCAUUCACAAGGGGAGGGAUCCAACCCCUCUAUUCCUUUUAUUAUUUUACCUCUUUGUAUUGUUUUGCUACAAAUGUGUUAUAUGUAUUUAUCUGAUUGAACUAACUUUUUUUGGUUUUUGUCUCCAUUGCAUUCAUAAGCCCUAAAAAAUUAGAGUCCUGGCAUGGUACUCUUUAGGAUGCCUACCCUAUUUGAUAUGACACGUUUUAAUUCAAUGUUUCGUAUUGGCAGCAUAAAUACAUUUCAUUUUAGGCUCACCUCGGCAUACAAAAAGGGGUUCCUUUAGGACACGUUUUAUUGGUGUACUGCAUAUUUAGUCACUUUGAUAAACUGGCAUCAUACAUCCACCUUAGAGGGAAUGUCAUUUAGGAGAUCCCUUGUUAGGAAUAAACCGCCCUGUGUUUCGGAUAUUUAAUCCAAUGAGACUUGCACGUUUAUAUUUUUGUACUGUCCGAAGGGGUAGUGCACGAGAUAAGGUAGGAUCCGAUCUUUUUGAAGACGGCAAAGCAAUUUUUUGCACAUUAGAAUAUGAGCAUCUAACAAUCAUCUUUUGGCCAUUUUAAACAAAAUUGGUAAAAAUUCCCUUGCAUAAAGGACAUUAACUUGAAGAAAUUCACAAAUGAUUCCUCACUGUUGAGAGGAUAAAUGUAGAGCCCAAAUCUUGAUUUUAGGAGGCUCAUAAACUAAUGCAUUGCAAUGAUUUUGUAAAACUACUAAUGAGUAGAUGAUUCAAUCGAUUUUUGAAUAAACCAUCAAUUUCAUCCAAUCCAUUUUGUCAAUUCAUUCAAUUUUAGGGCAAUCUAAUCAUUUUUGAAUAAAUCAUUAACUCCGUUUCAAUCAUUUGGCCAAUUUACCCAUUUUUAGGGCAAUCGAGUCGAUUUUGAAGAGAUCAUCAGUUUCAUUCAAUUCAGCUGACCAAUCUGCCUAGUUUUAGGGCAAUUCGGUCGAUUUUGAAUAAAUCAUCAUUUCACUCGAUCUGUUUGGUUAAUUGAUUUCAUACAAUUCAUUUGAUUAGUUUAAUUCAUUUUUAGGGUUAUCCAUUUAAUUUUGAAUAAAUAAUCAAGUUUCAUUCAAUGCAUUUGACCAUUUUACCCUUUUUAAGGUAAUCUAGUCAAUUUUGAAUAAAUCAUCAAUUUCAUCCUAUCCAUUUGACUUGUUUAUUCCCUUUAGGGUUUAAAUUUAAGGUUCACUAAAUAAAUUAGUCAAGACAUUGCCAUCCUUUCAAGAGUAAGCUUUCUUUCACAUAUUAUAUGUUGAUCAAAGCAAGCAAUCCAUUCGGACUUUGUCCUCAUUUUUAGGACAAAUGUCUCUUCUUACUCCAAUUGGUCAAACUUUUUCAUAUUAUUUUUCACUCAAUCAGUGAAUCAGAUUCAUCAGGUAUUGUAUGGUGCCUACCCUAGAGAAUUGCAUUUUCAUGCUAGGCCUACCCUUGGCAUAAAAGGGCUCCCCCAUAGGACAUGCAUACCGAUUUUGUAGUCUUGCCUACUAACUCGAGGUAUUUUUUCUUUUGUUUUCCCCCCUCCCCUGCAUUUAUAAAAAUGCUUCAAUAAGGUAAAGAAUUCUAUAUCUGAUAACAAUUCUGACCUAACAAAGUGUGAAAAUUACAAGUAUUAUUUGAUUCUUGGGCAGAUCUUACAAUGAAAACAUGAAAGAUUCAUCUGAAAGCUCUAGGCUAAAGCCUCUGAGAGACUUUAUAAUUGUUUUUCAAAGGAAAAUUUUGUUUAUUUGAUUUGUUAAUACAUUUUUGUUCCAAAAGAAAGCGAGACAAAAAGUGUAUAUAUGAGGAGUUUUUUAGAAGUUUUCUCUUCUCAUUUGUAUUAUAAUUGAACGAGAAAUUUUGUUUUAAACUUUUUCAGCAAUAAAGUUUUGGACAAUUAUUGUUUUGUGUAUAUUCAUGUAUAUUUCAUUUCAUUCUUUAUUUUGCUCAUUGGAGAUUUCAUGAUGAAUUUUAACAAAUAAGACCAAAUUGAGAAAAUUGACAAGCGUAUGUUUUCUUUGCAUACCCUAGAUUAGUGAUCCAAACUGUAUAAUAAAAGCACUCAGAAUUAAAAGAGGUCACUCAAAAGACCCAAUGAGAUACCUUUUUCCUCCUUCACUGUACAGUUCAUAUUUUGUCCACUUCUAUUAUCCCCAAAAUAAAAUCUGUCACGUUGAUUGAUAAAUUAUAAAUUGGGGCAAUCUUUGUUUGAAAAUGCCCAUUGUGUCUAAUCCGAUUCAAUUCACAUCUAAGUGAAAGCAAAAAUGUGCAUUAUUCUUGUUUGUUUUGAAAUUUUGGAAUGAUAUUUCAAACGUUCGUUUCUCUAUCCAUGCAGCUUUUAUCAUUUGCUCUCCCAUUUGAGUCUUUAAAAGAAUAAUUUCGUUAAAAACCUUAAUGAUCAUUACCCUACAUUGAAAAAUUUUCAAAUAUUAAAAGGGAGUGAAUUUUCAAUGACCAUUUCGUUAUUUUGGUUGUCAUGAGGUGUAAGAAUGAUACUUUGGCCAUCAUUUUUACAACCUAAACACUAUUUAUCUCUUGCAUCCUCAUUUGAGCUAAAAUGGGUGGUUCUUUUCAAAGUACCUAUGAUCGCACCCCAUAUUGGGGAAGGAGAUUGGAGAAUUUUGUGAAAAAGGAAAAAGCUAAAAUGCUAAAAUUAAAGGAGAAGAGAGAGAACCCUAAAUCGGGAAAAUUUGAUUCUACCAUCGAUAUUUGGGCUUCAAUUUUGAAAAGAAGAAAAGAGAAAAAGAGAAGAGAAAGAGUGUCCGGCAAAUCAUCUAUAUGGAUGAACGAGAGUCAUUCUCGGUUAAUUGAUUCAAAUGCAUGCAAAAAAAUUUCGCAUUAAUGAAAAUUUUCCUUUCAGAGUUAAUGUAAGGAACGGAAUAAAAGUCAGGCUCUUUUCUUUUCCAAUCAAAUAUUCUAUCCCUAGUUAUCCUUUUUGAGCCUUCAGAAUAAAUUACUUCGUUUGGCAACCUCUGAGAAUCGCAAACCCCACACUGGGGCAAGUUUGAGUUGAAAAAGAAAUAAAAGUCUCAAGAGAUGAAAAGUGAUAAAGCAACAAAAGCAAAGAAGAAGAAGAAAAGAGAACCUCGGUUGAACAUGAACUGGGACAAAUUUUGAAAAGUUCAAAAGAAUGGCAGAAGGCCAAAAAGAAAAAAGAGAGCAAAAAAUGAAAGGAAAAGACCCUCAAUUGAAAAUAAACUGGAGCAAGUUCUGAUUUAAUCCUAAAAAUAAGGUUGGCGCAAUAAUGCGAUCUCAGGUCAUUCAAACCACUUUUGAAAAUCUGCUUUCAAACCUUAACUUUUCUAAGUAUCUCACCAGACCCAUUACAAAAGUUGAAAGUUCUGACUUCUGUUUCUUUGCAAUAUCUCUGUCAAGAAAUUUUCUAAUUGGCAAGUGAUGCUUGUAUACUGAUGCCAGAAAUUUUUUAAAUGUAUUUCUGAAUUGAUUAGUUAUGAAGUUGACAGUACUCAUCAUCUGAAAAUCCGCCAUGGCACCUUUGAAAAGAAAGGAAAAGCAAAAAGCAAAAAAUAACUGCAAAGGAAAUGGAAAAGAUUUGAUGGUGAAGUCCCCGUUAAGUAAUGACGAAAGUCACCAAAUCUAAAAUCUUUAAAUUCAAAAUAGGGGCAAUUUUAAAAAAAUGCGAUCUACGGUGCAAUGUCCUUGAAAGUUUUAUACUUUAAACUAUUGUUUUCAAGCCGCAUUACAAGCACAUUGUAGACACCAAAUUUUUGGUGUUUUAUUAUUUAUUUAUUUACUAUUCAUUUUUUAUUUGUUCUAUUUUUAUUUGUCACAAUUAGUUUUAUUUACUUUUAGUUUUAGUUAUUUUAGCCAUUUUGGCGUAGAAUUUCUCAAAGAAAAAAGAAAAGCGUUCAAAAAAAAUAUGUUUUAGUUGUUUUAGAUUUAGUUUUCAUUAUUUAAAAAUGAAAAUAAAAAAAAAUGAAAAAUAGGCGAAGAAAAAACAUGGUUUAGGGCAUUUUGGUUUAUUUUUGAAAAAAAGAGGAAAAAGGAAAAAACAAUGAAAAUGGAAAAUGAAAAAGGGGGAAAUGGAAUUUGCACUUUGUUGUUUCUAGUUUAUUUAUUUUUAUCCAUGUUAAUUAAAUCAUUUUUGUUUUUUAUUUUUAUUAUCAAUUUUGUUUUUUUUUUAAACAAAAUUUUACAUGCAAGCUGCGUUUCCGCAGCUUGCAAGGACAGUCGCACAUGACCAUCGGAUGGCUGAGGUGAGGAACGAAGAGCUGGGAUUGAAAAGGACCAUUGAUAUCAGGGUUUUGGGUUUUGGUCAUUGGAUAUAAAAGGAAAAGAGUGAAGAGAGCAUAAGGGGAGAGGUAGAGCAUGAUAGCCGCAAAUCUGGAAAGGAAAGGAAAAGAAAACAGCGACAGAGUAGAGAGCUGGGGAGAGAGCCGAGAGAGAGAGAGCUAAAGAGGGAUAGCUGUAGGGGCCGAGAGAGCAAGGAACAAAAACUGGGGAAAAGGAGGAGGCUAGCGGAUGAAAAGAGAGGCUCGUUGGCGGCUGCUUGAGCGAGAAAAAUCAGAAAGAAACGAGAGGGAGAGUGGAGAGUUUUGUUUCUUCUCAGCCAUAACCGAAAGGUUGCGAGAGAGGAGAGGAUCGGAAAAGAUAGAAAACAUCGUAGGAAAAAAAGGGCUGAGUUUCUGGGGGAGAGCAUACGGGUUGAGAGGAAAAAGAAACAACAGCGGAGGGAAGAAGGAUUGAAAGUGGCGGCUGCAAAUCUGAAAAGAAAGGAGAGCAAAACAGAGAGGGACGACUGCAAAUCUGUGAGGAAAAAGAAAAAGAAAGCAGCGACAGAGAAGGGGUUUUAGAAAGGAACAAAAGAAAGGGUCUUGGAAAGGAAGUGACGGCUGAGAGGUCCUGGGGAAGAAAAAAAGAAAGCAGAGCAAUUGCUGCUCAUCGCCAUCACCGCCUGCAAACCUCCAUAAACACCGCCCGCGAACCUCCAACCGCCAGUCCGCAUUUGCUGUUGCUGCCGUCCGUCGAUCAUCACCCGCACCAUCACCAUCUAGGCUCAAGUUAGCUUCAGAAACCGAGAGCACUGUAAGUUCCUCUCAAACUUUUGAAGCAUGUCUUUCAUGAUUUUGCUUACGGCUAUAUUUCUGUUGGGGUCCUCAUUUUCUGGUUUGGGUUAAAUGUUUUAAGGGCUAGAAUUGAAGAUUUCGGCAGGUUUCAUGGCACUUGGUUAUGUUGUUUAGUUGCAUCUUAUGGAAACACUGAAGUUAAAUCUAUCUAGUUGUAUGUUACUUCGCAUGAUCAUCUUUCGGUCUGUGACUAAAAUUGCAGAAUGUUAUUUCUAUGCUUGCAUGAUCAUCUGUCCGAGUUUCAGAUGUUUAAACAUAAGGUUUUUGUGGCACUUUUUCUUUUUUCUUCUAUUUCUGUUCUGUAUUCCUGAUGGUCAGCUCUGUUUCUCUCUUUCAAACCUUGCCAUGAAACCAUUUUUAGCCGACGAUGGAUAGGUAUCAUUCUGGUUUCUUAUUGAAUUUGUUUGCAUGAUAAAUGGGAGAGAUUGUAGCUGGUUAAUUGCAGAAGCCUGUGCAUGAAGUCUGCUGCAAUGAGCUUAAAGUUUUGGUCCUGUUGCAGCAGCAUGUGCGAAUACCUUUUCUUUUCCUUAGAUGGCCGAAGCUUUGGCUUUGUUUCAAACGCUUGAUUUGGUUUGUAGCUUGACUGAAAUGUCCGGCAACAGCUCUUGAAAUUGGCUUUAGAUAUCCUUUGCUUGUUUCAUUUGGGUGCUGAAGGGAUGAGAGGGAAGGUUUGGUGUUGAUGUUUGUGUGUUUGUUUAAGGAAAAGCUUGAAGCAUGCCAAAUGGUUGCUAGAAAACGCAUUUCAACUUGCCAAACCAGUUUUAUACGUUUUCCAGAUUUUUCAACUUGCCGAAUGCAUUUCAUUUUUUGCACUGGAUCUUGCUGAGUUUUUCUGUUUGUUUGGAUGAUGGUUUGCUGUCUAGUUUAAAGCCUUGUGUUUGGGUUUGAAAUCUGAAUUGGAAAAAACAAGUUUUGUGUUUGGGUUGUUUGUAUGAAUGUGAAUUCAGCCAAAUGAGUAGCAAGCACAGAAACUAUAUUGCUGAGAAUCUCCCUUGCAGAAAUCUUCUUCAUGCAUGCAUGAAAUAAUUCUUCAAAAUUGCCUCUUAACCCCCUCAAGUUUCACCUUAUGCAAUUAUGACCCACAAAAUUGAGAAAACUAAUCAAUUGGGUCCCUGUGAUUUUUGCAGCAAUGCAUUAUGGCCCAAUUACAUUCCAUGUUCUUGCAAUUAGGUCCUAAGAUAUUUGCAUUUGAACCAUUACUUGAUCCUUUCUUGGCUCUUGGAUCCUUUGAGUUCUUCAAUGUUUCAAUUAGAUUCGAAUGGUUAAUUAAUGUUUGCAAUUGGGUCUUUAGUUUUUUUUUUCUAUUUUAGAAUUUUGAUUAAUGAAUCAUUUUUGCUUAGAAUUCGUGCAUUAUUUGAUCCUUUCUAAGUUGCAAAUUGAGGAAGGGUUCGAUGUUUGAUGGAUUCCGAUUGUCUUAUUUACGUUCUAUCAUUAAAUUGGUGCAUUAAUCCUUUGCUUUGAAUGGUUUUAGCCCAAGUUAUCCCGUUAAUUGGUGACUUUAGCCCAAUUUAAGUCUUGUCCACUUUAUUAGCACCACAAAAGGGGAAGGUAUAAUCUCUUUUAUCUUUUUGUCUCUCCUAUGUGAUCCAACGUGCUAAGUGAGAAGUGCAUGUCUAAUUUGCUUUCCUUGCUUUUCUUUAGUUCCUUUAUUUUAUUUACUUUUGCUUUUAAUUAAGUUAUUCUUUUAUGGGGUAUGUGUACACCUCUUGGCUUGUAAUAGAUAGGGCUUGGAGGAGCAUUUGAUGAAGACCUAUUGAAGACGUGUGCCUAGCUAGCAAAUGUAAUAGGUCUAUUAGCUUGGUUGCUUGCUUUUGUUGCUAUGUGUUAAUUUGCUUUAUUAGGUUCUUGCAUCUAGUCGAGCAUGCUAAGUGUUAUGUGCUAUGUGUUUAUGAGUGAUUGACAUGUCUACUCUCUUUUCAUAGCCAUGAAUGAAUGUGAUGGAUGAAUGUACGUUUCCACUAGUCCAACGCUAGUAGGAAUUCAUAGAAUGGGCUAGUCCAACGCUAGACCCAAUAGGCCGUCCCCCUUUUUGUUAAUGCAUAUUUGCAUGUUCACUACAUUUCAUGCAUUUUUCUUAGUUUUUAUCAUUUGGCAUGCUCCUCCAAUCCUUUUCCCCUCAUUCUAGGCUUUUUGCAUUCUCAUGCUAGUUAUAGGGUACAUUUGCUUGACGAGUCCCCUUUCGAUAAGGGAAACGAGCGAGUUUGGCUACAAAAUAGCCUUAGCACGCUAGUUCUUCCUUCUAAUCCAAGGAAAAAUUAAAGUCCCAAAGUUAGGACUCCCCGUUCCCGUCUUGAUGCAUUCCUAUAGGAUUCAUGCAUUUUACUCAUUCACUAUCACGUACACUUCUACUUUAUAUUCUAUCUCUUUUUCCACAUUCUCACUUCACACGACUUUAAUUCUGCACGUUUUCACUCUACCACUCACACUUUACACAAUAUUAUUCGCACACAUGCACUUUAUGUUUAUACUUUCACCUUAUCACUAUACUCACUUUACCUUGUAAAUCCACUUACACACUAUUGUUUUUAUCACUUUUUCACUUCACACAAACUCACAUUUUCACAUGGCACGCAUUCAUUUCACUCAUUUUUACGUCAUUUAGGAUUAUGUGUGACCUCUCCAAAGGAUCAUUAUUGGGCUUCACAAUUAAUGUGAUUGGCAUCACUCAAGCUUUGGAGAUAAAUUUUACCCCCCAUGUCCCCCUAGGUCUAGGUUUUGCAUUCAUAUAGUCAUAUCCAACAUGCGAUACAUAUCUUGGGUAGAAAAGUAGGAAACGUGGGGCUAAGUCACACAACUAGCUUUGGCUAGGGUAAGGGAGUGCCUUAGGCUCCGCCUUUGCCUUCUCCCUUAUCAAAUGUGGCCCCCGAUCCAUUUCUUUGGUUGCGUAGACCUAAAAGUUCUUUAAAAGGGUUUGUUUAUUUUUUUUUCAUUCAAAAACAAAAAUCAUUUUUGGGUGACUUGGUACACCCUAACUCCGUACCAAGUGGCGACUCCAUUUUUCAUCCAAAAACCCUUUUUGAACUUUAUUUGGCCAAACCGUCGCAUUUUCAAGUCUCACGGCCUUUUAUUUUCAUUUUUUUCACACACGUUCACAUACACACUAUUUCCACACCACAUUAUCAAAAAGUGGGGCGCGACACACAUAAAGUCCAUCGUUGACUUAUCCCUCAUGACAACUCAAAGUAAGGAUUAUGCUUCUGAAGAAUCCCUCAAUCAUUCGGGAUCAUAAGGCUAUAACAUGUUGUCACAUGUUUAGCUAUCGUUUCUACCCAUAUGUUACAAGCUUAUAAAGCUUGUAUAUUGACUAAGUUUUCUCAAGAAAUAAGGGUAACAAAUUUUUUACUUUCACUAAGAUGUGAUGUUGAAGGGUUUACAUAUAAUUUGGGCACAAGAAUAAGACAAAUCCUGACCUCUCAUUUUUCUUAACUUUCUCAAAAUCAGAAAAUAACACCCACUCGAUUGGUCCUGAAAGACGAGCUAGCAAGGAGUGGUGACCCAUCACCCUAAGCAUCAAUGCUAAAGUGAGGAAGGAAUCACUUGUAAAUUGGUAUUAUUUUGAGAAAUUCAUCAUGAAAUUUUCUGUCAGGAAGCAUAGUUUCUUACUUUGUUCAAAUAAAUGGAGAGUCAUCCAAAUAAAUUUUUGCAAUUAAAUGAUCCCACGUUGGGGCAAAUUUUCAUUUGAAAGAUUUUGCAAAAUGAGUCCACAUUGGGGCAAAUUUUUAUUGUAAGAUUUCACAAAAUAAGCCCACACUGGGGCAGAUUUUUUGUAAUACAUUUGAGAAUUUCAAAUCAAUCACGCUACUCUUUUCAUGAGUAGUAGUUGCAAAAUAAGAAUUUUAAGUGCAUAUUGUACUUUGGUGAUCCCCCUGUGUAGGUAUUCAUGGCUGAACAUAAUGAAGAAACAUCCGAUGAUGUGGAAGGCCGAUAUUGGAAAAGAGAAACAAGAAGAAAGAAGGAAAAGGCCCUACACUAGGGCAUAUUUUUGUUGAAAAGAUUUUCUCGAAAAGAUCAAAGAAAAAGAAAAAAGAAAAGGAAAAUCAAGAAAAUUCAAAAAUCAAAAGUCAGAAAAUCAGAAAAAAACAAAUCAAAUCAAAUCAAAAAUCAAAUCAAGUUUAAAUUUUUGUUUCUUGAAAAAUUAAAUUAAAUUUCUUUUUUGGCAAAAUUUCAACGUCUGCCGCGCACCCUUCUAUCCCCACCUUGACAAUCACAUUUAAUUUUUGAUUAAAUGAACGUCAGGACCGGAUUUUAUCCCGCUGACCAAUGAAUGUUGGGACCAGAUUUCAUCCCGCCAACCUCGCCAGGACCGGAUUUUAUCCAACUAGGCAAUGAAUGUUGGGACUGGGUUUCAUCCCGCCAACCUCGGCAGGAUCGGAUUUAAUCCCGCUGACCGUUUAUAUCACGUUGGGAUCGAGUUUAAUCUCGCCAAUCUCGGUAGGAUCGGGUUUAAUCCCGUUGACCGUUUAUAUCACGUUGGGACCGGGUUUCAUCCCGCCAAUCUCGGCAGGAUAGGAUUUUAUCCCGCUGGCCAAUGAAUGUUGGGAUCGGGUUUCAUCCCGCCAAUCUCGGCAGGAUCAGGUUUAAUCCCGCUGACCGUUUAUAUCACGUUGGGACCGGGUUUCAUCCCGUCAACCUCGGCAGGAUCGGGUUCAAUCCCGCUGACUGUUUAUAUCACGUUGGAACCGGGUUCAUCCCGUCAACCUCGGCAGGAUCGGGUUUAAUCCCACUGACCAAUUUAUCAUGGCAGGCUCGGGUUUAAUCCCACUGACCGAUUAUUACGGCAGGCUCGGGUGCUAUCCCACUGACCGAUCAAUUAUCAUGGCUGGUUCGGGUUUAAUCUCACUGACCGAUCAAUUAUCAUGACAGACUCGGGUUUAAUCCCACUGACCAAUUCUCACGGCAGGCUCGGGUUUAAUCUCACUGACCGAUUAUCAAGGCAAGCUCGGGUAUUAUCCCACUGACCAAUUCUCACGGCAGGCUCGGGUUUAAUCCCACUAACCAAUUCAUCACAUUGGGGCAAAUCUUUGGAUAAUUUUUCAAGCAAGUCUUAUGCAGUUUCUCAUACAUACCAGCAUUUUUCAUUUACACUGCCACUAGCCAUUGAGUCAAUCCCACUAGUGAGCAUUUCAUUCACACUGCCACUAGCCGUUGGGUCAGUCCCACUAGUGAGUACUUCAUUUGCAUUGCCGCUAAACAUGGGUCAGUCCCACUAGCGUGCAUUUCAUUUUUAUUGUCACUAAAUAUGGGUCAGUCCCACUAGUGUACAUCCCGUUUAAAUUUCUUGUUUCAGGUCAGUCCCGAUUUUUAAAUUUUCUAUUUCGGGUCAGUCCCGAUUUUUAAAUCCUGUUUCGGGUCAGUUUCGAUUUUAAAUUUUCUGUUCGGGUCAGUCCCAUGAUUUUAAAUUUUGCUCGAGUCAGUCCCACAAUUUUAAAUUUGGUUCGGGUUAGUCCCAUGAUUAAGUUUGUUCGGGCCAGUCCCAUGAUUUUAAAUUUUGUUCGGAUCAGUCCCAUGAUUUUAAAUUUUGUUCGGGUCAGUCCCAUGAUUUAAGUUUGUUCGGGCCAGUCCCAUGAUUUUAAAGUUUGUUCGGAUCAGUCCCAUGAUUUAAAAUUUGUUCGGGUCAGUCCCAUGAUUAAUUUCUUUUUCGGGUCAACCCCAUGCUUAAAUUUUCGUUCGGAUCAGUCUCGUGUUUAAUUUCUCGUUCGGGUCAGCCCCGUUUCAAAUUUUUCGUUUGGGUCAAUCCAUUUUAAAUUAUUUUUGUUAAAGGGAUCAGUCCUCAUUUCAAAAAUGGCAGUCGUUCGAAUAGUUUUCAGCCGAACAAAACAAGUGAGUAUUUGGUGUCUACGUUUUUUUCUCGAGUUUCUUCGUAACUCAAACAAAGAAGGGCAAACUGUAGACACCAAAUUUUUGGCUUUAUUUCUCAUUAUUUUUUAUUGAUGAUUAUUAUUUAUUUUUGUUUUACUAAUCUCAUUUUAGACAUUUUUUUUAGCAUAAAAUUUUUCAGAAAAAAAAGAGAAAAAUCAAAAGAAAAAUCAAAGGGACAAGAAUAAGACACAUGAACCUAUUUUGAGGAUGAAAUCUUGGCCUUUUAUUUUAGGGUUAAUUUUUUGGGGAAGCUUUAAAAGGGAAAAAGAGGGGCGCCGCACAUGGGGGAUUUUUAGAAAGGAAGAACCAUCAGAGAGAUGGAGUAAAAGAGAGAGUUGGCAGAGUAGACGGCUGCCCUGGAUACGGAAAGAAAACAGGAGGGAGAGAGAAAGCAUAGCAUCUGGAGGUGGCUGGAGUUUGAGAAUGUAGGGUUUAAGAAGCUGGAAGAAGAGCUGAAAAACAGAGAAAGAUCAAGUAAGAAAAGCUACGGGCUUUGGGGAGAAAGAGCUGAGAAAAGCAAGAAAUGGUUUCGGCUGUGUAAAUGGCAUGAAAGAUUACGGGAAGAGCCAGGAAACCUAGGAAAGUUACGGGUUUUGGGCAAGUAAGAAGAAAGGGAGGCUGAACCAAAAGGGAGGAUUCGGCUAGGCAAGAAAAGAGCCAAGGAAGAGAAACGGCAGGCUGGGUUGAAGAUCUGGGAAAUCUGAAAAAAAAAUGAAAAAACUAGAAGAAGGAAGCUUCGGGCAGGAGCAAGUCUAUUGGAGAAAGGAAAAAGGAAAAACGCAGAGUGGCCGCAGCAUUAGAGGAUAUCCACACAAGACCUAAACUUCCGCCGGUUUCAAGUGAAAAGAAAAGAUCGCUACGUUGGUGGCGCUGCCGUUGCUGUUGCUGCUCUCGUUCUACUGCCGCCGACUCCAUCACCACAACUCCUCCCUGCUGCCAUUACCGGACAAGAGUUAUUGCCAAUGGCAGAUUUGAUAACAAAUCCUGAGGUGGCUGAUAUUAAAGGUAAUUUCCGUGCUGUUUUUUCCAAUAUAUAAGGUCAAAUAUAUAACAGAUUUUUGCCAUGUUGAUCGCUGCAUUUUCUUGCCCUUUUGUUGUGUCGCUUGGCUUGAGCCUUCUACCAUGUUUGCAUAUGAUUUAAGGUGAUGUUGAGGCGAUGAGUUGUGUUUAAGUUUUGGGCCACAUGAUCUUGUUUCAGUCCAAAUUUGUGAUUUUUGUUAGUGAGGUAUUCGGUUGAUAAUGGAACCCAAUAGUUGCAGAAAUUUUUCCAGAUUUUCGCAUAUUCUCUCUCUGAUUUUUAUGUUUAAACAUAAGACUCUGUGGUCAAAAAUAGAAAGAUUACUGGAUGAUCUUGUUGUUCUGAUUCAAGUUUGUCGGUUUGGCCAUUUAGUUAUAUUUAGACUGCAUUCAAGAACUCACCAGAAAAUUGAAAUCAACAUUCAAAUUAAAGAAGCAAUAAAAGAAUGCAUUUCCUGUCUUUCGAAUCUGUUGGGGAUAGGUAGUAGCACUUUGGGGGCAAUGGUAACAAUGGGUUGAAGAUCAUAGCAUUGGGGUUUGGUGGGUAAAUCAAUAGGUUCUGUUUGCAUCCCUUUGAAUGAUCAUGUUUCGGUUUGGCAUAAGAAAAUUGCAGAAACUUUGAAAGUACUAUCAUUCGAUGCUCGCUAGAUUUUUUCCGUAUGAAUUUCUGGAGUUUAAACAUAAACUUUUAUGUUGAAAAGUUAAAAGAAAGCAUGGUUAUCUUGUUACCUUGAUCUAAUUGUCAUUGGACGAGACAUGAGCUGCAUUUGAAUGAAAAGGAGAUUGCCUCUUAGAACUUAGUUGCAGAAGCUUUUCUCAUGUUAUUUUGCAUGAAGCUGCGUUAGCUUUCAUGUUUUGAUCCCCGCAGCAGCUCACAAAUUGGGUUUCAUCACCUUGUUUGCACAUUUAAUCUUGUGUCAAUGAUGGAUGCCGUCCCUCUGGGUUGUUCACAAACUAUAAAAUCGUAGCAGAAACUCACAUAAGCAAAGGAAAUUUCGUUUGGCCGAAUGUCUGGAUGCAUGCAUGGAAACGUUAUUAAAAUUUGCUUCUUAACCCCCUAAGUCUCCUUUUAUCUUACAAUGGCCCAAGUAAUGGUAAAAUCAAUCAAAUUGACCCCUCAAACUUUCUUUUUUCCUUCUUAACCCCCUAAGUUUAGCUAUUUAAAUGCUUUUAAUGAUUCAAUUUCAUAUUUAUGUGAUUAUUUGCGAUGCCUUGACACUUUCUUUGUUUUUGGAGGGUAAAUAAGUAAUUUCACUCCAUUAGGGCUCCAACUCAAGGGAGGUACACUCUAUCCCUUAUUUUUUACUCUAUUUGACUCUACGUACCUUAUGUGACUUUAAGUGCUUAAUUGCUUGCCUUUUGAGUUAUUUAUAUAUUUAUUUAUUCGCUUUAUUUAUUUUUAAUUUUACAUAUUUAUUUUAGCUCAAUUUUGGUUAUUUAAAAGGCAUUUAAAUGCCAAGUUGUAAUAGUUAGGUUUAUUUUAUUUAUUUGCAUUUCCCCCCGUUAGAUUGUAGUAGGGCCCCCUCAAAUGUAAUAGCUAGGGUUUUAUUUGCUUCCUUUUUGCUUGUGUGAUUUGCAUGCUUACGUGCUAUGUGUUACCGCUUUCUUAGGGUCUUACAUCUAGAUAUCAUGAUUAUGUGUCAUGUGUUUACGUGAUAUUAUGUGUUUACUCAUUUUAUUAUGUUUUAUGAGAUUAUAAUUAAAUGCAUGUUAUCACACUAGUCCAAUGCUAGCUGUGAUUCCUUUCCCGUCACCACACUAGUCCAACGCUAGUUGUGGCCCCUUUCUCGACUCCACACAAGUCCAAUGCUUGUGAGAGAGCAUUAGUAAGAGCUAGUCCAAUGUUAGACCCUUAGGGACUAUUCACACGUUAGAUCAUGAUUGUGUGAUAAAAUCACUUCAUCUCAUGCAUGUUUUCACUUUUUAGGGUUUUUACCAUGUUGCAUGACACUUUUCUCAUAUGUGUAUAUCCUCUAUCCCAUAUCCCCUUCUAUUUAUGUCCCCUAUCUCAUAUUCCCUCUUAUAUCCAUGUCCCCUAUUUCUUAUAAUCCUAUGCAUGAAACAUGACAUUAGACUUGCAUUUUUAUUUAAGAAUUAGAACUAGGCUAGUAUAAUUUCCAUGAUUAGAUUAGGAAAAUUACCCCUUGCGUAUGAGAUAUGAACGAGUUUAGCUUCCUAAUCUUAGCACGCUUGUAUUCCCUUUAUUAAAGGGAACAUUGAAAGUCACGAGUGUAAGUCCCCCGCACCCAUUAUGAUGCAUUCCUUUAGGUCAUACACAUUUGUAUAUUAUUAUUUUCUUUACUUUUUCUUUCUUUCGAGUCUCAUGGUUUGCAUUAUUCGUGACCUCUCCAAAGAGUCUACAUUGGGCAUCACAAUUAAUGUGAUUAGCACUAAUUGAGAUUUGAAAAGAAAUUUCGACCCCCCGAUACCCUCUUAGGUCUAGGGUUUGCAUUCAUAUAGUACAUCCAAAUGUGAUAAAUCUUAAGGGUAUAAUAAGAAAAUCUUUGACUAAAUCGCGCAACUAGCCUUGGCUAGGUUGAAAGGGUGCCUUGGAUUCUUAUCCUUGCCUUCCCUUUCUUCAAAUGUAACUCCCGAAUCUUUUUUUCUGAUUUUCGUAGACUUGGAGUCGUUUAAAAAGGGUUUUUCUACUUUUUCUUUAAAAAUUCAUUUUUAGGUGACUUGGUACACCUUAACUCUAUACCAAGUGGCGACUCCAUUUUUCAAACCCUUUUUAAACUAUAUUUUUGGGUCAAAUCGUCGCAUUUUCAAGUCCCAUUUAGACCCAUGUUUUUCGUUCUCUUCUUAAAUAAAAAAUUCAUUUUCCAGUAAAAAAAAUUGAACCAAAAGCCAUUUUUCUAAACUCGUCUUUUAUUUUCUUAUUUUUAAAAUUGGGGCGCGACAGAGUGCACGUUUUUCGAGACUAUAUUUGAAUCAGGAGUGUAUUAAUAUUAGAGAGUUAAGAAUGAUCAAUGGUAGGUUCAUUGAGGAAUUAAUACUCGACUCAUGUGAAGACUCACAAAAAUUUACCUAUUUUAAACUCCAAAUUCUAGCUCAUUUAAUUAUUUAUUUGGCGAAUUGCCCCAAAUAUUAUUUUCUAAUCUUUUUAGACCUAAUUAAAGGGAUCUAUCGCUUAGUUAUAUUUUUAAAGUGACUUGUUUCAAAAUUAAAUUUCUGAAGACUCGUUAAAUGAAAAUAGUGAAUACGCGAUUGGAAUAAAAAAAUUGAAUCGGGGAUACAAUAAGUUUGGAAAAAUUGGAGAUAUGUACAUUAGUCUCAAAUUAGGUAUUUUAUGUUUAAAUGCUCAAAUAUUAGUUAGUAAUAUAAUCGUUAUAAGAAUUUCUUAAAAGUUAAGUGUUAUAGCGCAAAAUUGGAAGUACGCGUUUUUACGCGCGCGAUUAAUUGAGGGACUUAGACCAUUAUUUUUAGACCAUUAAGAGUGAAUAAUAAUAGUACGAAUGCAAAUGCUUUAGAGGUUUAGAGCACAAGUGAAACAAACUCGAGAGGAAUCAAGUACAAAACACGCGCGUACGCGCACUAUCCUUAGUUGACUUUUAGAGCAAUUUUGGCCACACAUUCUUAAGCUUCUCAUGGAAGCAUCACACCAGAUCAAAACCCUUCUCUUCUCACCUCAAGUGCCGGCCAAACACUCUUUUCCCUUCCAAAACAACCAACCAAACAGCAAAGGAAAGAAAGGAAGAAAAGCUUCUUCAUUCUUGAACCAAUCUUCCUCCAUUUCAUCUCAAAAUUUGCAUCCAACUCACAAACCACUUGGAGAUUCACUUAGGCAAGGAGAAGAGCUUCAUUUCCAAGGUUUCUUGGAGCUUUCUUGUGGCCAAAAAAAUUUGACCUUUUGCAUCUAAGAAGGUAUAUGACGAUCAAGCCCUUAAAUCUUGUCUUAUGGAAGUAGUAAAGCAUAUAUAAGCUCUUGCAUGCAUGUGGGUAGUCUUGUUUAUGAUGGAUUUUUGUUUGGUGGGCUCUAUGAACUCCCACCUUGGAUAUAUGGACUGAUUUGGUGAUUGAUGAUGAAAGUAAUGUUGGUUUAGUACUUAUAUUGGUGGAUUAAUGUUGGAUUAUUGAUGGAAACUCAAAUGAGGUGCAAUGGGAAAAAGUGACCAUUUUACCCCUGGUUUGUUCGACCACUUUCGUGCAAAAUUUUGAGGUUCUAAUGGCUUGUUUAUGUUGUUUACAUGUUAUAUUAGUUGUGUAAAAAGUUUCAUUGAAAAAUAACUUGAUUUGAUCACCCCAAAUGUUGGAUUUACGAAAGCUUAGAAAUCUGGAAAAUGAUUCCCGUCACUACCAGACAGUCAUCUUGUUUCGGCUAUAAUUAAUCUCUCCGAUGUCAGAAUCGAGUAUCGUUUGUGGCACUAGAAACUAGACAUUCCCAGCUUUCAUUUGGUAUAAAAUGCACAUUGUGGUUCCUCUCGAGUGAGCCAAACCAUUCGUUUAAAAAUUGCUGUCCUGUUUCAUUUGUCAUUGGGAGGCAGAUUAUGAACUGCGAUUUGAUGCUCAUGUAUGAGCUAGUUAUGGAUAGAUUUUGAAAAUGGUUUCUUCUAAGAAAAUAUAUCCUUAUGAGUCUAUUUUCUAACGCCACCAACCACACUCAAUUCUGUGUUGAAUUGAGUGAUUUAUGAUUGAAAUUCAAAACUGACUUUGUGAACGAAAACAGUGUUUUGGACAGAUUUGAAACUAACUACGGUUUGAGACUUGUUAUCCAAAGUUUCUUAUUGUAAAUCAUCUAUCGAAUAUACCUUGAACAUAUUUUGGACAUUUUCUACUAGAAUGAACCAUGUUUGAGAUGUUCCUUGACCAAAUGUUUGGAAACAGCAAAACGGAAGUUCAAAGGCAGCUUAGCUUUAGAAUUUCUUGUGAUUUCAACUGUUUUGUUAACCCACUUUCUGUGCUUAUUUCUCCAUGAAAUUUGGUAGAGGAACAACCCUUAUAUGGUAGUAUUAUACUACUAAUUUUGGUGUUAUUCAGAGGUCGUUUCAUUGCUCACCCCGUAGAUUUGUUUUCCUUAACAGGAAUGGACAUGGAAUGAACUUGGAGAAACCCCUUUUGAUGCACUUCUGACUUAGGGUUUCUAAUGUAAUUUGGGCUAGACCUCUUAUUGGUUGUACUCUUGGAAACUUUAUGUAUGAUUUGGAUAUUUGAUGUACCCGGAUAUGGUAUAUUUUGGGUAUUGAUGUAACUUUUGAGAAUUUCAUGUAAAGGUGGAUAAAUGUUAUAUAUAUUGUUAAGUUUAAAAGUUUCCACACUUUCUUAUUUAUCCAGUGCUGUCGAAUAGUUUUGCAUUAAACUUGAACGAAAACUGCUUGAGUCCUAGCGAGAGUUGGGCAGGCGUCCCGCGAAUACCCUCUGGUUCGCCUUAGGGAGAAGUGGGGGCGUCACAAAAAAGCACUUGGUUUCCAUUUCUUCUUAGGGUAUUAAGGUAACUAUAUCAAAAAGCGCUCUUUUUUUUAUUACUUGCUUAUGAGUGGAUUUAAGGUUUGAUUUUGGUAGUUUUCAUGAGAAACUUUAUGGUUUGAGUUGUGAUUCAAAAAUUUCAGCUUUGAUGGUGAAAUUUCAACUUUAAUAUGAUGUUUUUGAGCUUGGCCUUGAUCUAGUAGCUUUGCCAUGUGAAUCUUCUAGCUUUUACAUGUUGUUUUGGCUUGAUUAUAGAAAAUUUCAACUUUUGGUUGAAAAUUUCAGGUUACGGUUUCAAAUUUCAGCUUUGUUGUGGUUGAUUUUUGAGCUAUAAAUUGGCUAUAUUGGAUUGUUUUGUGGCCUUAAACAAGUGUACUUUAUAGCCUAUAACUUGUGGUUGUGAUUGAGGUUGGAUUGAGAUGAAUAUAGGUAUUGAGUUUGGAUGGAAAAGUAAAGAAAAUAAGGGGAAGUGCUGCUGAAAUUUUUAUUACUUCCUUUCUUGUGACAUAAGUGAUGUUAGAGGGGUGAUUUUGGGUUGGUUUGGACCUAGAUUACAUGUGAUCUCUUGAGUGCACUUUGAUGGUAGUGUACAAGCUGAAAUUUUAACAAAAUCAUGUGUAAAAUAAAAGGAAAAGUGAUGGUUUCUUCUAGCAUGCUUUCUAGUUGCAUUUGUUCCACUUUAAACUCGAGGUUGGUUAUCUUUGUCGCUAUUUUAUUGCUGAAAAUUCCAGCCAUGAAUUGGAAUGGGGAACUCCUUCGUUACUCAUGUCCUUCGGGUUCAAAUGUUCUCUUUUCACUCCAAAACCAUAUUUGGGUUGGUUUUGGAUUGAGAUGAAUAUAGGUAUUGAGUUUGGAUGGAAAAGUAAAGAAAAUAAGGGGAAGUGCUGCUGAAAUUUUUAUUACUUCCUUUCUUGUGACAUAAGUGAUGUUAGAUGGGUGAUUUUGGGUUGGUUUGGACCUAGAUUACAUGUGAUCUCUUGAGUGCACUUUGAUGGUAGUGUACAAGCUGAAAUUUUAACAAAACCAUGUGUAAAAUAAAAGGAAAAGUGAUGGUUUCUUCUAGCAUGCUUUCUAGUUGCAUUUGUUUCACUUUAAACUCGAGGUUGGUUGUCUUUGUAGCUAUUUUAUUGCUGAAAAUUCCAGCCAUGAAUUGGAAUGGGGAACUCCUUCGUUACUCAUGUCCUUUGGGUCCAAAUGUUCUCUUUUCACUCCAAAACCAUAUUUGUAUCUUUGCACUAGUAGUUAUUUGGAUUUUCUUUGGUUCACUUAAGCUUUGGAUGGCUGAACCAUAAUGCUUUAUCUUGGAUGUUCUUAGGGUUUGUUGGUGAUCAAGGGCAUAAUCCGGGGGCAAACUUUUGACACUAUUUUGUUGAACUGGUGAGUGUACCACUCAUAUAACUUGUUGCUUAACUGAUUUACUUGUGAUUGAAAUUUAUGAUUUGAAUGACUGUGGCUUUAGUUUAUCCUGGACGGGAUGAGUGCAUACUUUAUCACACUUGUUUCCCCUUGACUAUUUGACUGGUUUACUGUGCAAUUGAAAUUUGUUAUUUGUGCAUGAAUUGAUGUCGUUUGGAGUCUAAUAUCCAACAACCUUACUAUAAAAUUUGAGCUCAAAGCUCAUUGGCAGUUAAUCGAAUCGAGCCAACAAAGGUUUGGUCGAGGUAGAUUGACGAACCAUGAGGAAACUGUUAUUGAUUCACUGACUACUGAAACCUUCUGAUAUUUGGUAUACUCGAAUAUUACUACCACUGUUUCUAUUUAGUGUUCGGGCCCGGAAAGGGGUAUGUUUGGUAGACAGAAACCGGUGUAAAGUAGAGAUCUACGGUCAUUGUUUUUAUUUCUUUAAACAUUGACGGAGUGUCAACGGAUUUCGAUCAAGUUAAUGCAACAGGAAAUUGGCUCUUGAGAGCCACCAGUAUCCUUUUACUUGAAUUGCUCUGUAUAAGUUAUGGUGUUUACUUAUUCCUUUAUUUGAUGCACAUAUUUGAUAGAAUAAGUUCUAACUAUGUGAUUUGUGACUGCAUGACCUUUUGAUACCUCAUUUUGCAAAAACUCAUCCUAUGACCUUUGUUUUCCUUACAGGGGGCGAAGAUUUGGGAGCGUGAUUUUUGGGGAAAGAGUUGAGCUAGUUAUAGUUUUGUUUUGUUUUAAGCUUCUCUGUAUUAGUAAACAUCACAUGUAUUUGUAUAAGUUUGAAUACUCUAGUUUGUACUUUAAGUUUGAAAUGUUAGCGACUCCAUUGUAUAUAGUUCUGGGUUGAUGAAUGGAAGUUAAAUUGCGCGUUUUAGUACUUAAUGUGAAUUUUGGUUUAGUAGUCCUAACGAAAGUUGGGCAGACAGUUCGCUAAUCUUUGGAGUACGUCCUAAGGGAAGAUGGGGCUAUUACAAUAAAAGCAUUCCAUAUGUAUCUGUGAGGCUUUCAUAAUCAUGCUCCUUCUUUAGACUACUUUUUUGUCAAAUGCUACAUUGACUAAUUUAUAGAUAACAGUUUCCCUAUCUUUAUAGCCUUUGUUCUUUAAGUAGUCAAAAUUAGAUGGCUACCUAUAAUUGCUGAAGUUCUCUACUAAAUAUAGCAUGUCACGUCCUAACUCUUGUUUUGCAAUUUUAGAGUCAUAUCCAGAUCUUAUUUAUCCUAUGUUCAUUUCUAAUGAGAGCAUUUGUUAUGAACAAUGUUCUUCUUAAUUGGUUUUAGUUGGUUCUGUUCAAACUUCAAACUACUAUUGAUUUUUUAGCAAAUAAGAAGUUCAACUUACUUGAAGCUGAGUUCUUUCGGAUGGGUUUCAAGUUUGAAGUUAUAAUUAAUUCAAAUUCAUAAGAUUUGAUGUGAAAGUUUAUACCCAAAAAUAAUAGCCUUGACGAUUAUGAGAGCUAUAGUUUACAUAUUCAUAAUAAGUGCAUGUUUAUUGAAAUUUCGCAACUACUACAAUACUCAAAAGCUGUUUGAUGAAAUGCCUAAGAAAAAUAAACUAGAAACACAGAUUAAUAGUAAUUAUAGCAUAGCCCCUAUUAAGUAAAAUCACCCGCGUACCUCAAUUUGUUCUUGAAGAUGAAGGCUGAUGAUGACUAGCUGAUGAUGGCUUGAAGAUGAAGAC